rnacentral:misc_RNA from 1 species
GAUAGGAAAGUUUUUCUAAUUCCAGGGGAAUUUUAUUAUUGCAGGAGGAAUUAGAAGAGGGUGAAAUUGUGGAAUAAUUGAUGUGCUGGACUUUGAUAGGUGGACUUAAAAGGAGCAGCUCCUAGAAAUUGAUUUUUCCAUUGUAGUCUGACUCUUCGCAGAUUCAGUUUUUUAGUUCCCCGGACAUUAGUAGUGGCUAUGAAGCAAAGUCCUUCGACUUUGUGGUAAGGCACACAUUCUUUCUCUCAUAGGAAGUUUAUGGAUGCUAUUUGAUA